UCUCCGUAGGUGAACCUGCGGAAGGAUCAUUAAUGAGUUGUCAUGGGGUUCGAUGCUGGCAGCCAGUUUUUGGAUGCAUGUGCUUGCCCUAACAAUCAUCUUCUUCCAAACACCUGUGCACAUUUUUGAGGGAGUCUUGAGUUGGUUGCCGCUCUUGGGUGAUUUUCUCACAUUCCCUUAAAUCAUUAUACGCUAUUAACAAUGUUGAACGUGCUCUGUGCCGCAAGGCCAUUAAUAUAAUACAACUUUUAACAACGGAUCUCUUGGCUCUC
rnacentral:misc_RNA from 1 species